rnacentral:misc_RNA from 1 species
AGAAGAAGAAGAUGAUGAUGAUGACGAUGAUGAAGAGGAGGUGGCCGGUGGAAGUGAAGGAGAAAAGUCGACCAAAUGAGUUGAGAGAGUCCGGUUCGGUUGGGUCGUCGGCGUCGUAGGCAAUUAUAUUCUUUUCUUUAUUGUUUUUUAUUUAAAUAAUAUAAAUAUUUUUUUGGUUUCUUAAUUUUGUGUCAGAAUACGGCUCUGUAAGAAGCGGUACUGCCUCCCCUAAGUGGCGAUGGG